UGCUAAUAUUGUUAAUAUUCACAUCUUUUGUCUAUAUUUUUGAAAUAACACAGAUUUUUGCUUUCUUUCUAUUGGUCUGUAGUUUUCUCAUGAUGUCUUGGUCUGACUUUCUUAUUGGGCUAAUACUGGUCUUCAAAACUUUCUUC
rnacentral:lncRNA from 13 species